rnacentral:rRNA from 1 species
UACGUGAGGGGGCAAGCGUUGUCCGGAAUUAUUUGGGCGUAAAGAGCUACGUAGGCGGUUUGUCGCGUCUGCGUGUGAAAACUCGGGGCUUAACCCCGGGCCUGCAGUGGGUACGGGCAGACUAGAGUGCGGUAGGGGAGACUGGAAUUCCUGGUGUAGCGGUGAAAUGCGCAGAUAUCAGGAAGAACACCCGUGGCUAAGGCGGCUCUCUAGUACGGUACUGACGCUGAGACGCGAAAGCGUGGGGAGCGAACAGG